rnacentral:rRNA from 1 species
AUUGAACGCUGGCGGCAGGCCUAACACAUGCAAGUCGAACGGUAACAGGAAGCAGCUUGCUGCUUUGCUGACGAGUGGCGGACGGGUGAGUAAUGUCUGGGAAACUGCCUGAUGGAGGGGGAUAACUACUGGAAACGGUAGCUAAUACCGCAUAACGUCGCAAGACCAAAGAGGGGGACCUUCGGGCCUCUUGCCAUCGGAUGUGCCCAGAUGGGAUUAGCUUGUAGGUGGGGUAACGGCUCACCUAGGCGACGAUCCCUAGCUGGUGUGAGAGGAUGACCAGCCACACUGGAACUGAGACACGGUCCAGACUCCUGCGGGAGGCAGCAGUGGGGAAUAUUGCACAGUGGGCGCAAGCCUGAUGCAGCCAUGCCGCGUGUAUGAAGGAGGCCUUCGGGUUGUAAAGUACUUUCAGCGGGGAGGAAGGGAGUAAAGUUAAUACCUUGGCUCAUUGACGUUACCCGCAGAAGAAGCACCGGCUAACUCCGUG